rnacentral:rRNA from 1 species
AUGUACAUUCCUACAACAUAGCGUUAAUGCACUGGAUCCCAUUAGAAAUAUGUAGUUAAGCGCACUCAGGAUAGAGUAGUACUGGGAUGGGUGACCGCCCAGGAAGUCCUAGUGUUUUACAUG